AGUCUUAUAGUCAUUAAUGAUAUAAAAUUGCAAAUUUUAAGGAGUACAAAUUAAAUACUAAGGCUU
rnacentral:tRNA from 1 species